rnacentral:tRNA from 1 species
UAAGAAGUUAGUUAACAUCUAAAUAAUAUUGAAUUGUCAAAUCAAAGUAAUAAAAUUUACUUCUU